UAAAGAGCUCGUAGGCGGUCUGUCACGUCGGCUGUGAAAACCCGAGGCUCAACCUCGGGCCUGCAGUCGAUACGGGCAAACUAGAGUACUGCAGGGGAGACUGGAAUUCCUGGUGUAGCGGUGAAAUGCGCAGAUAUCAGGAGGAACACCGGUGGCGAAGGCGGGUCUCUGGGCAGUAACUGACGCUGAGGAGCGAAAGUGNGGGGAGCGAACAGGAUUAGAUACCCUGGUAGUCCACGCCGUAAACGUUGGGCGCUAGAUGUGGGGCUCAUUCCACGAGUUCCGUGUCGCAGCUAACGCAUUAAGCGCCCCGCCUGGGGAGUACGGCCGCAAGGCUAAAACUCAAAGGAAUUGACGGGGGCCCGCACAAGCGGCGGAGCAUGUUGCUUAAUUCGAUGCAACGCGAAGAACCUUACCUAGGCUUGACAUGCACGGAAAUCUCCCAGAGAUGGGAGGUCCUUUAAAGGGUCGUGCACAGGUGGUGCAUGGUUGUCGUCAGCUCGUGUCGUGAGAUGUUGGGUUAAGUCCCGCAACGAGCGCAACCCUCGUUCUAUGUUGCCAGCACGUCAUGGUGGGGACUCAUAGGAGACUGCCGGGGUCAACUCGGAGGAAGGUGGGGAUGACGUCAAAUCAUCAUGCCCCUUAUGUCUAGGGCUGCAAACAUGCUACAAUGGCCGGUACAAAGGGCUCGAUACCGCGAGGUGGAGCGAAUCCCAAAAAGCCGGUCUCAGUUCGGAUUGGGGUCUGCAACUCGACCCCAUGAAGUUGGAGUCGCUAGUAAUC
rnacentral:rRNA from 1 species